CUGGGUGAGCUAUGAACAGGCCAACUGCAAGGGCGAGCAGUUUGUGUUUGAGAAGGGCGAGUACGCCCACUGGGACUGGUGGACCAGCAGCCAGAGGACAGACUCAGCAGCCUGAGGCCCAUCAAAGUGGACAGCCAAGAGCACAAGAUCAUCCUCUAUGAAAACCCCAACUUCACCGGGAAGAAGAUGGAAAUCAUAGAUGACGAUGUACCCAGCUUCCACGCCCAUGGCUACCAGGAGAAGGUGUCAUCUGUGUGGGUGCGGAGUGGCAUGUGGGUUGGCUACUAGUACCCUGGCUACCGUGGGCUGCAGUACCUGCUGGAGAAGGGAGACUACAAGGACAGCAGCGACUUUGGGGCCCGUCACCCUCAGAUGUUACAGAAGCACAGAGAGGUUAAGUAACUUGCCCAGUGCUGCACAGAAACUAAGUGGUGGAGCUGGGAUCCGAACCCAAGCUAUCUGACUGUAUUGACAAACAAAAGAUGCAUCAAAACCCAAAAGGGCGAGCGAGGUAUUAUGGCCAUUACUGGGGAGUUAGAAAUUUCUUUUCACUGGAGAGAUAAAUGGUGUUUCUGUUCCAGAUUGUGAACUGGCCAUGCCUGGCUCUAGGCUUUGGGACAGUUCAACUCUGUUCCACAUGUCUGAUUCUGGAUCCCAUGCUGAAGAGGCAGCUGCUGUAUAAGGCAUGUUCUUUUUGUGAUGAUGGCAGAAGUUUGAGAGACAAGUCACACUAUGCAAACAUGGCUCAAGAUUCUAUCAUACAACAUCUGCUCACAUUCAACUGGCCAAAGUCAGUCAAGGUCAGUGGGGCAGAAAAGAAUAUACUGCCCGAAAAGGAAGGAAAAAGUGAGUGAACAUGUGUUGAACAAUACUCCAAUUUAUUAUCGGUAGGUCAAGGAAUCUUUGCAGCCUGAGUCUCGUAUGGUGAUUCUCAAACCUCAGCAAACAUAGAUAUCAUCUGGGGAAUCUGGUUCAAAAUGCAGACCUGAGACUAUUCUCCUGCAGAAUAUCUGAGUCAGUGGAUUUGGGUGGGGCCCAGGAAUCUGCACUUUAAACAGCCACUCCCUGGGGUUAUUCUGAUACUGAUGGUCCAGGGUCCACACUUUGAGAAUCACUGGUUUAAUGGUUCUGAGCAUGUGCUGAGGGCUCAGAGAUGCAAGUUCAAAUCCCAGCUCCACCCUAGCUUUGACCUUGGUAAGUAGCUUUGCUUUUCAGAGCCUCAGUUUUCUCCUCUAAAAAACUGAGUUGGCCGGGCGCUGUGGCUCAUGCCUGUAAUCCCAGCACUUUGGGAGGCUGAGGUGGGCGGAUCAUCUGAGGUUGUGAGUUUGAGACCAGCCUGACCAACAUGGAGAAACCCUGUCUCUACUAAAAAUACAAAAUUAGCCGGGCAUGGUGAUGCAUGCCUGUAGUCCCAGCUACUAGGGAGGCUGAGGCAGGAGAAUCACUUCAACCUGGGAGGCGGAGGUUGCGGUGAGCUGAGAUCACGCCAUUGCACUCCAGCCUGGGCAACAAGAGCGAAACUCUGUCUCAAAAAAAUAAAUAAAUAAAUAAAGU
rnacentral:lncRNA from 1 species